GAUGAACGCUGGCGGCGCGCCUAGCACAUGCAAGUCGAACGGUUAAAGCACCUUUUAGGUGUGUAUAAAGUGGCGAACGGCUGAGUAACACGUGGGCAACCUGCCCUCCUCUUGGGGAUAGCCUCGGGAAACCGAGGAUAAUACCCGAUACUUCAAUGUGGCCGCAUGACGACAUUGAGAAAGCUUUUGCGGAGAAGGAUGGGCCCGCGGCCUGUUAGCUUGUUGGUGGGGUAGAGGCCUACCAAGGCAAUGAUGGGUAGCUGGGUUGAGAGACCGACCAGCCAGAUUGGGACUGAGACACGGCCCAGACUCCUACGGGAGGCAGCAGUGGGGAAUCUUGCACAAUGGGCGAAAGCCUGAUGCAGCGACGCCGCGUGCGGGACGAAGGCCUUCGGGUUGUAAACCGCUUUCAGCAGGGACGAGGCGAUAAGUGACGGUACCUGCAGAAGAAGCCCCGGCUAACUACGUG
rnacentral:rRNA from 1 species